GGCAGUAUGCUCCCAUAGGCUAGGGCAAUAGACUGGGUAUCAGGAGACCUGGGUUCUAAUCCCAGCACUGCCA
rnacentral:tRNA from 1 species